AACGAACGCUGGCGGCAUGCCUAACACAUGCAAGUCGAACGAGACCUUCGGGUCUAGUGGCGCACGGGUGCGUAACGCGGGGGAACCUGCCCUUAGGUUCGGAAUAACUCCCCGAAAGGGGUGCUAAUACCGGAUAAUGUCUUCGGACCAAAGAUUUAUCGCCUUUGGAUGGGCCCGCGUUGGAUUAGCUAGUUGGUAGGGUAAAAGCCUACCAAGGCGACGAUCCAUAGCUGGUCUGAGAGGAUGAUCAGCCACACUGGGACUGAGACACGGCCCAGACUCCUACGGGAGGCAGCAGUGGGUAAUAUUGGACAAUGGGCGAAAGCCUGAUCCAGCAAUGCCGCGUGAGUGAUGAAGGCCUUAGGGUUGUAAAGCUCUUUUACCCGGGAUGAUAAUGACAGUACCGGGAGAAUAAGCUCCGGCUAACUCCGUG
rnacentral:rRNA from 1 species